UACGGAGGGUGCGAGCGUUGUCCGGAAUCACUGGGCGUAAAGGGCGCGUAGGCGGCUGGUGAAGGCUUGUGUGAAAGUCCGGGGCUCAACCCCGGAUCGGCACGGGCGACUCGCUGGCUGGAGCCCACUAGAGGCGGGUGGAAUUCCGGGUGUAGCGGUGGAAUGCGUAGAGAUCCGGAGGAACACCAGUGGCGAAGGCGACACGCUGGGCCAUACCUGACGCUAAAGCGCGACAGCAUGGGGAGCAAACGGG
rnacentral:rRNA from 1 species